rnacentral:rRNA from 1 species
UUUAUUUAUUUAAUUUUUUUUAAUUUUUAUAAAAAUCAUUUUAUUUGUUUUUGUAUAUGUUUUAGAUGAAAUUAUUUAUUAAUAGUUUAUUUUUACUGUAAGGGUUAUUUAAUUAAUAUUUAUAAGUAAAUUUUAUUUAUUGUACCUUGUGUAUCAGGGUUUAUUAAAUUUUAUUAUUUAUUUUUUAUUUCCCGAUUUUAAAGGAUUUAAUUAAUUAUUUUAGUUAUUGUUUUAUAAAUAUUAUAAAUAAUUAAUUAGUGGUGAAAUAUUAUUCGACUUUAAUUGUAUCUGGUUUUCUAAGAAAUGAAUUUAAUUCAUGUAUUUUAAUUAUUUAUUUAUUUUUGAAAUAUUUAUUUUUAAGAUAUUAAUAUUAGGGGGGAUAAGCUUUUUAAUAUAUACAUUUAAAACUUUUUAUUUAUUAAUUUUUGUUGAUUUUAUAAUAAUUAUCAUUAUAAGUUUGUUAAAAUUUUAUUUAUUUAUUUAUUUUUAUUUAUUUAUUUAUUUAUUUAUUUAUUUAUUUUAUUUUUAUUAUUAUUUAUUUAUUUAUUAUUUUUUAAAAUGAAUUAGGCAAAUAACUAUUAUUUUCGCAUGUUUAUCAAAAACAUCUCUUCUUGAAUUAUUUUUGAAGUAUAACCUGCCCACUGAUAUAUUAUUUAAAGGGCCGCGGUAUUUUGACCGUGCAAAGGUAGCAUAAUCAUUAGUCUUUUAAUUGAAGACUGGAAUGAAUGGUUGGACGAGAAAUAAACUGUUUCUUGAAUAUUUUUUGAAUUUAAAUUUUAAGUUAAAAUGCUUAACUUUUUUUAUGGGACGAGAAGACCCUAUAGAGUUUUAUAAAUUUUAUUUUUAUUAUUGUUUGUAAAUUUUUUAUUAUUUAAAUUUUAUUUUGUUGGGGUGAUUGGAAGAAUUAAUAAACUCUUUUUUUUAUUUAUAUAUUUAUUUAUAAUUUUUUGAUCCAAUUUUGUUGAUUAUAAGACUAAAUUACCUUAGGGAUAACAGCGUAAUCUUUUUUGAGAGUUCUUAUCGAUAAAUGGGUUUGCGACCUCGAUGUUGGAUUAAGAUUUAAUUUGGGUGUAGCAUUUCAAUUGUUUAGGUCUGUUCGACCUUUAAAAUCUUACAUGAUCUGAGUUCAAACCGGCGUGAGCCAGGUUGGUUUCUAUCUAUAAUUAAUUUUAUAUCUUAGUACGAGAGGACCAGAUAU